AAGAUAAGGCAAUCCAAUUCUCAAGCUAUCAUCAAUGGAGGCUGCUCUCUUCAGCUUACCUUCCUCUUCCUCUCACUCUUACCCAUUUUCCGUGAAAUCCCACUUCAACAAUCCCUUCAUAAUCCCCCAUUCCAGUUCUCACCUCAAACUCAAACCCAGAACUCUAACUAUUCGUUCAGCCAUUAGCAGAACCAAGAAAGAAGAAACAGUCGAAACAGUGAAGCAACAGCUUGAAGAUUGUUAUCUCUUAGCUGGAAUCAGUUACAAGGGGUUAACAGUUAAGCAAUUUCAAGAUCUUAGGGCUCAACUCCCAGAAACAACAAAGCUUCUUGUUGCUAAGAACACAUUGGUACUUAAAGCAAUUGAAGGGACAAAAUGGGAAGCAUUGAAACCAUGUAUGAAGGGAAUGAAUGCUUGGUUAUUUGUUCAUAGUGAAGAAAUCCCAGCUGCUUUGAAACCUUAUAGGACUUUUCUAAGGGAGAAGAAAUUGGAAGAUAAUGAUUUUACUGGUGGGGUUUUUGAAGGGAAGUUUUAUGGGCCUGAUGAGUUUAAGGUGCUUGAGAAUUUGCCUACAAGAGCUGAGAUUUAUUCACAGCUUCUUGGGUCUUUGAAAGGACCUGCUUCAGCUGUUGUUGGGACUAUUCAAGCUCCAGCAAGGAAUUUGGUUAUGGUUCUUAAGGCUUAUGUAAAGAAAUUGGAGGAGGAAGAAGGUGGAAGUCAAUAAUUUUUGUUGUAAUUCUUGGAUAUGGUAAGCUAAUACUAUUGUCUAUUUGGAUCAAUAUUUGAAAUUUUUCUGAGAGAUGGAAUUUUGUAAAUUUUAUGUUUUUGGUAGAAUGAAUUUAUCCUUGGCCAAUUGUUCUAAAUUUGUGUCCUCGUAUUUGGCGGAUAAUUAUCUGGAUUACUUCAUAACUGUUUGAGAGGAUUUGUGUUAUGUG
rnacentral:misc_RNA from 1 species